GGCGCCGGACAAACCGUCGCUGCGGACGUAUUGUCCGGAGAGGAAAGUCCGGGCUCCACAGGGCAGGACGCUGGACAACACCCAGGGGGGGAAACCCCCGGACAGCGCCACAGAAAGCAAACCGCCACGCCCCGGCCAUGCGCCGGAAGCGCGGUAAGGGUGAAACGGUGAGGCAAGAGCUUACCAGAGGCUGCGGUGACGCAGCCUGCUAGGCAUACCCCGUCUGGAGCAAGACCAAAUAGGGAAAGCGGUCGACCCGGCCAGCGCUUUCCGGGUAGGUUGCUUGAGGGCGCGGGCAAUCGCGCUCCUAGAGGAAUGACGGUUACGCGCGCAACGCGCGCGACAGAACCCGGCUUAUCGUCCGGCGCCCGUU
rnacentral:RNase_P_RNA from 1 species